rnacentral:misc_RNA from 1 species
CUCUCACACUACAGUAGAUACUCAUUACAUAACUUAAGCCUAAUGCUUAAAAGAAAAAACUAACAAUCCCAAUAGGAAGAGGACAAUCUUUUGGCCUCUCUCUACUCUUUGGGUUUCUCCAUUUAUUGUUUUUACGAUCUCAACUUAACACUCAUUCAUCACCUCAUAAACAUAUUCACAAACAAGAUUUGAAUGACCGGAUAUCAUACAUAACUCAUGACGACCCUCUUUCUUUCACUCUAUAUAUACAAGGCUAAAACAAAUUUGGUUUGGUUUCUCAUGUCUCCCCCAAAAACCUCACUUUUUAAUAUCUUUUUCUUUGUUGUAGUUAUUUUCAUAAUGACCUCUGCAAUAUGAUUUACCUAAGCUACAGCAGAGAUGCUGCUGCAGCAGUUGAAGCCUUCAAUCCUCACAGCAGCUGGCUUAAUCCCAAACUUCACUGGAACACAGCCGCCUCUAUUAUUACGACCACAAGUCGAAGUAAAGGAGGGUGGUGGUGCAGGUGCUCCUUCUGGAAUUGUUAGUAUAGGAACAAAAUUGUCGUUUCCAAAUUGGGCAUCCUGAAUCAGGGGAUUCGGAACCCUGCUGGGCGGAGACCCCAAAAAGAAUGGUGGUGAUGAAUCCAUCUCAAAAUUGGUCAUCUCCACAUCAUAGCUCCCCUUGGAGAGGAUGAUAUCCAGAAGUUCAGUUCCGGCUUUCAACUCGUAACCCUCUGUUUGCUGAUUAUUGAUUUGCAGGAAUCGAGAAGGUCUGAUAGGUUCGUUGAAAAGCCCAUUCCGGCGAGGUUUGGGGCAAACAAGACCAUCAGAGACAGAGAAAUCUCCCCCUCUAAUUUCUCCAACUCCAACACAACCCAUCAAGGUGUUCUGCUGAUAACCGCAUCUAUUCAUUUUUUUUUCGAUUUUGCACAACAGAUCUAAAGGGCUGUAUGGUUGAGGAACUGAUGGCGCCUGUGGAAGGGCGAAAAUGGAGGAGAGAGAUU